UUUUUAUUUUUUACAGAAUAAAUAUAUUUAAAUACAAUUACAUUCAUACAGAUUAUUAUAUCAUGGAUCUUAAGAAACAGAUUUAGUGACUCCCUCUGGAGAAGUGGAAUGGAAAAUAUGCUGAGACAAAUAGGAAAUCUAUUCUAUACUUUAUCCCAUUUUGUAUGGCUUUCAUUUUUACUAUUUAGUAUUAUCUGUUACAUUCAAUUUUUUCUUUAAAAAUUAGCAUUAUAUUAAAAUUGUGUAUAUAAUGCAACUAAAAUUUAUAAAGAAGAAAGCGUUAUAUACCAUUAAAUAUUUUAUAUAGCAUAAUAAAAAGAAUAACUUAACUGCUAAGAAUAACAAAAAUAAUAUACCCUCUGAAAAUAAGUAAAUAUAAAAUGCAUAAAUUGGUUAAAAAACAGUGUAACUAUAUAAAUAUGUCCUCAUAAUUUGUUACAUCUUAUUGAUUCUUCAAUAUAGGCAUUACACCAUUCUAGGUGAUGUGAUAAACAAGACAUUAUAGACCUUACAUUGUACCAUGGAGAGAAAUGGUUAUUAAUAAUAUAAUUGUAGAACUGUAUUAUUUAAUUGUACAGUUGCUUUAAUUAUAGUUAUCACAAAUUGUUUGAUGGAGAGGAAAUGAGAAUCAGAUCUAAGAAGACUUCAGCAUUCCAAGAAUGAUGUCAAAUGACCCCCUUCAUGGUGGAUUAUGCACUUAUUUACUGUGAGAUAUAUUUCUUCUCCAGAGAUUCCUUGUUUGUGUAUCAAUUGUAGAUUUUUGUUUGCAGUUAUUCCGAAGUUUUGAUAUAAGAAUCUAUAUGUAUAUGAGAUUGUUUUAAGUUGUUGAUCGCUUAAUUGCAAGUUCAUCUCCAGUGUCGUGCAUUUGUACCCACCCUUCUCAUGAUUGCUGAUUUUGGUGGUGUAAUUGUGCAUGGAUGAUUUCAUAUCUUACUGUAUAUGUACCUUUACUAGUGAGCCUGAUCAUUUGUGGCAUUUUUGUUUCCUGUUGCUAUCUUUUCUUUUCUGCUUAGAGAAGUUCCUUUAGUAUUUGUUGUAAGGCUGGUUUAGUGUUGCUAAAUUCUCUCAGCUUUUGCUUAUCUGUGAAGGUUUUGAUUUCUCCUUCAAAUCUGAAUGAGAGCCUUGAUGGGUAAAGUCAUCUUGGUUGGAGCUGUUUUCCUUUCAUCACGUUAAUUAUAUCAUGAUACUCCCUUCUGGCCUGCAGAGUUUCUGCUGAAAAAUCUGCUGAUAACCUUAUCAGGGUCCCCUUGUAUGUUAUUUGUUUGUUUUCCCUAACUGCUUUCAAGAUUUUCUCUUUGUCUUUAAUUUUGGUCAGUUUGAUUAAUAAGUGUUUCAAUGUAUUCCUCCUUGGGUUUAUUUUAUACAGUACUCAUUGGGCUUCCUGCAUUUGAGUGAGUGGUUCCUUUCCCCUGUCAGGGAAGUUUUUGGCUAUUAGNCUCUUGGAAUAUUUUUUCCGUCCCCUUCUCUCUCUCUUCUCCUUCUGGCACCCCUCUAAUACGGAUGUUGGUGCAUUUAACGUUGUCCCAGAGUUCUCUGAGACUCUCUUCAUUUCUUUUCAAUCUUUUUUUCUCUUUUCUGUUCUGCAUCCAUAAUUUCCACUAAUCUGUCCUCCACCUCGCUUAUUCGUUCUUCUGCCUCCUGUAUUCUGCUAUUGGCUGCUUCUAGUGAAUUUUUUAUUUCGGUUAUUGUAUUGUGCAUCUCUUCUUGUUUAAGUUUUAUAGCUUGUAUUUCUUUGCUCAGUGUUUCCUGUAAGUUAUCCAUCUUUUCCUCCAGUUUAUUUCCAAUAUCUUGCAUCAUCUUCAGCAUCAACAAUCUAAAAUCUUUUUCCUGGAGGCUAAGAAUCUCCUCAUCACUUAGCUGAUUUUCUGGGGUUUUUCCUUUCUCCCUCAUCUGAGUUCUCUGUCCUUUCAUUUUUAUAGGUUUUUGGUGUGGUGACCUUUUUACAGAUAAUAGAGUUGUAGCCUCUCUUACUUCUGGUCUCUGCCCCCCUUGUGGUUAAAGGUCAGUAUGGGGGCUUGCUGUAGGCUUCGUGAUGGGAGGGACUGAUGCCUGCCCACUGGUAGGUGGAGCCGAUUCUGAUCCCUCUGGUGGGUAGGGCUUAGUCUUUGGAUGGGAUUAGAGGCAGCUGUGUGCCUGAGGGGUCUUUAGGCAGCCUGUUUACUGAGGGGCAGGGCUGUGAUCACACCUGGAUUGUUGUUUGCCCUGGGGCUUCUCAGUGAUGACUGACAGGUGGGGCCAGAUUUUCCCAAAAUGGCCACCUCCAGAGACAGGCAGCUCCUGAAUAUUCCCGAGAACUUUGCCUUCAAUGUCCUUCCCUCACAAAAAGCCACAUUCACCCCGGUUUUCCCAGGGUGUCCUCCAAGAAGUGUAGUCAGGUUUGACCCAGAUUCCUAUGGACACCUUGCUCUGCCCUGGGACCCAGUGCACGUGAAUGUCCAUGUGCGCCUUUUAAGAAUGGGGUCUCUGUUCCCCCAGUCCUGUGGAGCUCCUGCGCACAAGCCCCACUGGCCUUCAAUGCCAGAUGCUCUGGGGGCUCUUUCUCCCAGUGCUGGAUCCCCACACAUGAGGGUUUAAUGUGGGGCUCAGAACUCUCACUCCUGUUAUGUGAGUCUCUGUGAAACAGUUAGUUUUCAGUCUGUGGAGCUUCCCACCUGGGAGGUAUGGGGUUGUUUAUAUCAUGAAAUUGCCCCUCCUACCUCUUGAUGUGGCCUCCUCUUUUUCUUCUGGAGUAGGGUAUCUUUUUUAAGGUUUCCGGUCCAUUUGGGUGGAGAUUGCUCAGUCUUUAGUUGUGAGUUUUGCUGUUUUUAGGAAAGAAGUUGAGUUCCAGUCCUUCUAUUCUACCAUCUUAAUCCUCUAACUUCAAUUUUUACCAUGUCAAUUUUCACCACAUCAAAAAUAAUUAUGGAGAGAAUAAAGAGAAACACUAAGUAAAAUGAGAGUGGGACAUGAGGAUUUUUGAAGAACUAAAUCUUCUGAGUAUUUAUAACAUUAAAAAUGAGUCUGGGUAUAAGAAAAUGAAAAUAUAAAGUAUUUCAGCAUCUAUAACAUGAAAUUGGUUAUAAUAUUUUAAAAUACAUCUAUAAUAUGUGCAAGAAAAUAUAUUCCUAUUUUUAGACAUAAUGCAAUAUCACUUAUAUAUGGAACCUAAAAAUAUGGCACAAAUGAACCUAUUUACAAAACAGAAAUAGACUCACAGGAAGAAAGAACAGGCUUGUGGUUGCCAAAGGGGGAGGGAGAGGGAAUGGAAUGGAUGGGAAAUUUGGGGUUGGUAGAUGCAAACUGUUGUAUUUAGAAUGGAUAAGCAAUAAGGUCCUACACUAUAGCACAGGGAACUAUAUCAAAUCUCUUGGGAUAGAACAUGAUGGAAAAUAGUAUGAGAAAAAUAAUGUAUAUAAAUGUAUGAUUGGGUCACUGUGAAUACAGCAGAAAUUGAUACAACAGUGUAAAUCAACUAUAAUAAAAAUAAAUAAAAUUAUAGAUCAACUAUACUUAUUUAAAAAAAUUAAAAGAAUAAAAUUAAAAAAUAAAAGUAUAAAAAUAUUUUACUACCAGUUAAUAACAUGCAUAAAAAUAUGAACUAUAUCAAGCAUUUUUGUGUCUAUGGUAUGCAGCAUAAGUCCCAGACACAGCUUAAUAGUCACUGUAUGAAAGAUUAAAUUUACUAAGGAAUAGGCAGAUGAAUGAGAAUUAUAUAGUUAGUAAGAUAUUGAAAUAUAAUUCAUGUGGCUGUGUAACUUUGUGGGAAAUAUACAGGUAAAAGUAAUAUAGAUAAAACACACAUUGCCUUUCUUUAGAAAUUUUUCCCACUCCACCCCCAACAUUCAUUCUUCACUAUACCUAGAUUCCAGGAAACAAUUAAAUAUUGAAGCAGUUAGUCUCUACUCUGGAAAUGAAACAGAACUUCGAAAUUAUUCUAGUUACAACAUUCUGACUUUUGAACUACCAUUUCAGUGAAAAACAGGAUUUCAAAAUUGAAUGCUAAUUCAACUAGUUCUGAGUAUAUGUUUAAAUCCUUCAAAUCAUUAAGUUGCUUGGACACAGAAACAGCCAAUGCACUUGCACCAAUUAGUUCUGGUUAGAAGCUCAAACUUUCUUUGGGUCAAGGGCAAUUUGAGUGAUUGGUAGCUGUGAUGGUGGUGAAACUGGGGAAAACAAAAAUAAGGUCAAAUCCUCAAAAGUAUAAGAACCUACUCAGAAAAGAUAAAGUAUAUUUUUUCUCUUUCCUAUUAGUAUUUUUCUUUUGAAAUCUGACAUUUAAAAAAAUGACCAGUCCAAGAAGACUUACAUUGCCAUUAGUUAAUCUUCCAUGGACCCUGGAAAAGAGUCACUUGAAAAAGUCACACAACCAGACCAAAAAAAAAAAAAAAAAAA
rnacentral:lncRNA from 1 species